rnacentral:sRNA from 1 species
UCUCCGGAAGCCAAAUUGGUUCGACGC